CUGUAACGUUCUUUUCACUUUUCUGCCACUGCCACCCUCUCUCUCUCUCUCUCUCUCUCUAAUAGUAGCUAAGCAGCUUGAACAUCCACCACCACCAGGCCACCACCACUUUAUAGUACACUUACCUCACCAUUUAUGCACUGUCUGUCACUGCCUCUUAGAUCCAUUAAAAGCAACCAAACCCUUCUAGCAGAAAGAGUUUAGUUUAGGAAGAAGCAUUGGCACCUGGGUUUUCAUAUUUCUAUAAUUUCUUAAGCUCUCUGUAUAUGUAUAAUGGUGACAUGAAAUCUUUAUUUUCAUGAGUCAUGAGUUUCCAUCAACAAUAUCUUAUAGUUUUUGCAGCAUUGUGUUUCUUUCUUCUUCUUCUUCUUCUCCUUUUUUCCCCAUUCUCUUCCCUUAAUUAUCAACAUCGGAGUUUAUUGUUUGAGGAGAAAACAAGAUUGGGUUCAACGCCACCGAGUUGCCACAACAAGUGCAAUGGAUGCCAUCCAUGUAUGGCAGUUCAAGUGCCUUCUAUACCGAGUCACCACCGAGUCAAACCGAGUCAUUUGACCAAAAAUGAUCUCAAGUUAUUUGACACGUAUCCUUCAGGUAACAGGUACUCCAAUUAUAAGCCACUGGGUUGGAAGUGUCACUGUGGUGGCCAUUUUUAUAAUCCUUGAUCUUCUUCAACUGUGCAUUAUAUAUCAUUAGUUUCUUGAUUAUAUAUAUAUAAAUAUUUGAAAGUGAAUAAUUUAGCAA